CCUUGCCAGCCCGCUCAGAAACUCAAAUGAAUUGACGGGGGCCCGCACAAGCGGAGGAGCAUGUGGUUUAAUUCGAUGAUACGCGAGGAACCUUACCUGGGCUCGAACGUAAGAUGACUGUAGGUGAAAGCUUACAUCUCUUCGGAGCAUUUUACGAGGUGCUGCAUGGUUGUCGUCAGCUCGUGCCGUGAGGUGUCGGGUUAAGUCCCAUAACGAGCGCAACCCCUACCUUUAGUUGCCAUCAGGUUAAGCUGGGGACUCUAAAGGAACUGCCUACGCAAGUAGUGAGGAAGGCGGGGAUGACGUCAAAUCAGCACGGCCCUUACGUCCAGGGCUACACACGUGCUACAAUGGCCGAUACAGAGGGCAGCUACCUGGUGACAGGAUGCAAAUCUCCAAAGUCGGUCUCAGUUCGGAUCGGAGUCUGCAACCCGACUCCGUGAAGUUGGAUUCGCUAGUAAUCGCGCAUCAGCCAUGGCGCGGUGAAUACGUUCCCGGGCCUU
rnacentral:rRNA from 1 species